rnacentral:lncRNA from 1 species
ACCACAUAAGUGAUUGUGAGAUCAACCACCCUCUACAUUGAGCAUACAAAAGAUGUACUAGUCUUACCGAUAUCAUCGAUCUCUGACUUGAUGAUCUAAUGAUUGAAAAUAUUUUAGAUUGAGGCUAUCAAGAUUUUAGGUCUUACUGGCAUGAUCUCAUCAUGGCUCUAAAAUCAUUGUCCUAAUCUAUCGGAUUUAUCAUAAUCAUAAAAAUAAGAUGUAGCAAAUGAUAAAAUAUAAUAUCUCAUAAAUAAAAUAAUUAAUGUCAUGCAAAUG